CAAAAACAUAGCUGUGUGAUUUUACUCACAGUUUUUUCUGCUCAAUGAGUUUUAAAUAGCCGCAGUACCCUGACUGUGCAAAGGUAGCGUAAUCAGUUGUCUUCUAAUUAAAGUCUCGUAUGAAUGAAUAUAUGGGGGCCCACUUUACCUGUGAUAUAAAUGAAAAUUGCUUAGUGAGUGAAAAUACUCUCAUUAUUAAAUAGACGAGAAGACCCUAGAAAUUUUGAUUAACGUUUUUGUUGGGGCAACAUAGUAUCAAAUAAUAUACUAUAUGUAUAUGAAAUAUAUUAGUAAGCUUAAAUUACUCUAGGGAUAACAGCAUAAUUAAAUAACGUUUGUGACCUCGAUGUUGGAUUAGGAAGUUAUAACUUAAAAGGUGAUUAACUACGCUCUGUUCGAGCA
rnacentral:rRNA from 1 species